GUCAUGACUGUCUUGCGCACCAACUCCACCGCAUUGGUAUUUAUACCGAGUCCGAUUUGCUCACUCUGUAGGAAAUUCGAAUUAAUGGAAAGGAAGCACUUGAUGGGAUGUUCGGCUGUACACGGAGCCUCCGAAGUGAAAAGAUAUUAUAGUGCUAGGCAACUGCUAAUGAGUCAUUGACUUUUUUUCUCUUAUCUAUUUCAUUUGCAUAUAUUCUUCUUGUUAAGAGUUUGUCAAUUUCUGCCAUUAAAAAUAAAUAAAAAAUUAAAAAUUAAAAAAAACCAUUUAAAAGUAAGAUUUUUUCCGUUGGUCACCAUAGAUUGCCUUUGUGGGAGGGGGUGAUUUUGGUAGCAGUUCCCACCAAGGAAAUAUUAAAGAUCUCUUGAAAUAAGUCUCAGUGGCAGAGCCUUGAAUGUCUUUCCUUGACUUUAGAAGAAGUCGUCCACAUCCGCAACGUUUUGACGAAAGCUGAGCUUGAAAGUCUAAUUGUA